GAUGAACGCUGGCGGCGUGCCUAAUACAUGCAAGUCGAGCGAACAGAUGAGGAGCUUGCUCCUCUGACGUUAGCGGCGGACGGGUGAGUAACACGUGGAUAACCUACCUAUAAGACUGGGAUAACUUCGGGAAACCGGAGCUAAUACCGGAUAAUAUAUUGAACCGCAUGGUUCAAUAGUGAAAGACGGUUUUGCUGUCACUUAUAGAUGGAUCCGCGCCGCAUUAGCUAGUUGGUAAGGUAACGGCUUACCAAGGCAACGAUGCGUAGCCGACCUGCGAGGGUGAUAGGCCACACUGGAACUGAGACACGGUCCAGAAUCCUACGGGAGGCAGCAGUAGGGAGUCUUCCGCAAUGGGCGAAAGCCUGACGGAGCAACGCCGCGUGAGUGAUGAAGGUCUUCGGAUCGUAAAACUCUGUUAUUAGGGAAGAACAAAUGUGUAAGUAACUAUGCACGUCUUGACGGUACCUAAUCAGAAGGCCACGGCUAACUACGUG
rnacentral:rRNA from 1 species